UGCCCCGUCGUCUAAUGGCAAGACGGCAGACUCUGGAUCUGCUUAUCGAGGUUCGAAUCCUUGCGGGGCAG
rnacentral:tRNA from 1 species